UCCGCCCACCGCCGGCUUGGAGGUGAGAAGGAGCGAAGAUGGCGGAGUGACGCGCCCCGGGGCCCAGUGGGCUCGGGUCCCGGGGCGGCCGCUGCGAGGCCUCCCCGGCCUGCUGGACCGUGCGAGGAACCUUAUCACACAGGAAGACCAUUUCCCUGAUAUAGGUGCUUCUAUAUUCUGAAAAUUCUGAACUCAGGACUUGGCAAAUUCUACACAGAGAUGCCCCUUGGAUGUAAUUGUCUUGCUGACCUUCCUGGAAGAAAUAAAGCAGCUGAUGUGGGUCUUCCAAUUCAGUUUGAUUAGUUGUAAAGAGAUGAUUUUGCAAGCUUGAAAACAGAUUUGGCCAGUUGUUCUACCAUAUCUCAUAAAGCACAUUUGAGACUGCAGCAGUAAGUUCCAGAUAUUGUCUGUAAUUUGAAAUGAAAAAGAUGCUAAAAAGUUACAUAUUUCUAUAUCUUGGCUUUUCCUGCGACAUAGAUUUCCUGCAAAAGAACAAAGGUCCAGUUCUGCAGUUGAAUGUUUGAUGUGAUAAAAGAAGCCUAGAGACGAUA